rnacentral:rRNA from 1 species
AUUGAACGCUGGCGGCAGGCCUAACACAUGCAAGUCGAACGAGUGGCGGACUGGUGAGUAAUGUCUGGAAAACUGCCUGAUGGAGGGGGAUAACUACUGGAAACGGUCGCUAAUACCGCAUACCAUCAGAUGUGCCCAUAUGGGAUUAGCUCGUUGGUGGGGUAACGGCUCACAAGGGCGACGAUCCCUAGCUGGUCUGAGAGGAUGACGAGCAACACUGGAACUGAGACACGGUCCAGACUCCUACGGGAGGCAGCAGUAGGGAAUAUUGCGCAAUGGGCGCAAGCCUGACGCAGCCAUGCCGCGUGUAUGAAGAAGGCCGUCGGGUUGUAAAGUACUUUCAGCGGGGAGGCGUGACCCGCAGAAGAAGCACCGGCUAACUCCGUGCCAGCAGCCGCGGUAAUUC